GACGAACGCUGGCGGCGUGCCUAAUACAUGCAAGUAGAACGCUGAAGGAGGAGCUUGCUUCUCUGGAUGAGUUGCGAACGGGUGAGUAACGCGUAGGUAACCUGCCUGGUAGCGGGGGAUAACUAUUGGAAACGAUAGCUAAUACCGCAUAAGAGUAGAUGUUGCAUGACAUUUGCUUAAAAGGUGCAAUUGCAUCACUACCAGAUGGACCUGCGUUGUAUUAGCUAGUUGGUGGGGUAACGGCUUACCAAGGCGACGAUACAUAGCCGACCUGAGAGGGGGAUCGGCCACACUGGGACUGAGACACGGCCCAGACGCCUACGGGAGGCAGCAGUAGGGAAUCUUCGGCAAUGGACGGAAGUCUGACCGAGCAACGCCGCGUGAGUGAAGAAGGGUUUCGGAUCGUAAAGCUCUGUUGUAAGAGAAGAACGAGUGUGAGAGUGGAAAGUUCACACUGUGACGGUAUCUUACCAGAAAGGGACGGCUAACUACGUG
rnacentral:rRNA from 1 species